GACGAACGCUGGCGGCGUGCUUAACACAUGCAAGUCGAACGGAAAGGCCCUGCUUGCUGGGUACUCGAGUGGUGAACGGGUGAGUAACACGUGGGUGAUCUGCCCUGCACUUCGGGAUAAGCUUGGGGAACUGGGUUUAAUACCGGAUAGGAGCCAUCUUUCGUGUGGUGGUUGGCAAGUUUUUUCGGUGUAGGAUGUGCUCGCGGCCCAUCAGCUUGUUGGUGGGGUAAUGGCCUACUAAGGCGGCGACGGGUAGCUGGCCUGUGAGGGUGUACGGCCACAUUGGGACUGUGAGACGGCCCACACUCCUGCGGGAGGCAGCAGUGGGGAAUAUUGCACAAUGGGCGCAAGCCUGAGGCAGCGACGCCGCGUGGGGGAUGAAGGCCGUCGGGUUGUAAACUCCUGUCGCUAGGGACGAGGCUUUGUUGUGACGGUACCUGGAGAAGAAGCACCGGCUAACUACGUG
rnacentral:rRNA from 1 species